rnacentral:rRNA from 1 species
UCAGGUUGCCUUAGAAAGAAGGGGGAGAUGAUGAUCUACGGAUCUCCCACGACUGAGCUCACGUCACAUGACGCAAAGGAAGAGCAGCAGCCAGAAGAAUAGAGUAGGGGCUGAGGCUGCUCGGGUUGGCCGCUGCCUACCGCCGCUGCUUCGACUCGUCGCCCGUGCUCUACGGCCGGCACCCCGAGCCGCAGACCGCCUACCUGAGGCGGCGGCAGGCGCCGGAGUAGGUGAGGCGGGAGGCGCGGCCGAUGGCGGUGAAGCUGACGCGGCGACUGAUGUUUUUGCUCCGACUUCAACCGCUACGCGACCGCCUCCGUAAGGUUUGACCCGAACAGUUCUCCCUCCUAGAAAAGUAGUGAUGGUUCAACACCUUGAGUCUAGUGCCAGUACACCAACUUCGGACGUUCCUAUCGGACUUCUUCGACGCUAACCUAAUAGAUCUAGAGAUGGAAUAAGUGAAGGGACAUCGAUGAUUCGUAUGACCUCAACCGUGUUGACCGUCACGAGAACCACUACUACCACACGAACUAUAGCUAUGGUGAUAGAGUAACCUCUGUUGCACCGUACGUUACCUUCUAGAACAAAGGUACCCUGAACAAGCAUCGUAUCCUUAAUCGUUGAUGCUGUAUAAGGAGUGGUCUCUGACGAACCGCAUGCGGUUCUAUUUCGGACGCCAGUUGGUUUAGCUCUGUGUGGGAAUGAAGGUCGCACUGAGAGAACACUUCAAGACGGUCUUCGUGCCUUAGACGCAGUGGCGUGUAUGGGGGGACCCACCGAGAUGGCGGUUGUGGCUCACCAAGCCGAGCCAGAGUACGGAACUGCUGGGACAGUAGUUCAGAGACCGACUCUUUAUGCCGUUCUGCGGCCGCGUCGACCAGGAGGCCACCCCGGAGGUCUCCUUGUGUCACCAGUAGGGGUUCUGGAGGUUCCAUCUCUCCGACCUCCUCUUGAAACGCCAGAGGCUGAAGCUGUAGAGACCGCUCCUGUACCUCUUCUAGUUCCGGGAACUGGCGUCGUGCUGGUCAGUGUUAGUUACCGAUAAUUUAUGGGGACCAGGGAUAGAUGCUAGAAUUGUAACAACAAGAUGUACAAACGUUCGCGUAAUGGUAUCCAAAGGUAUUACAAGAAGACCACCACUCCAUUAGGCAUUCGGGAGACCGAACCAUGAAAACGUAGUCCAUCAUGUCCAUACCACACUAGUGUUCAAGAGACCCUUCACGUCAUCCAAGAAACCUUCUCGAGUGACUUAACCAGAUGAUAACGGACAUAACGACCCUCACCCAACCCUCAUCCUUCAAGUCAAACGAAAAGGAUUUAAUUAUUAUGACGAGGUGUGACACAUGAUCAUGAAAAAGGUGUACACGAUCACCCGUUUGAGAAAGCAGCAUUUUAAACUGUAUAGAAGGUAUUCCGUAUAAAGAAAAUUCA